AGGGUAUUAAUUUAAUUUAAAAUUUUAAAAUUGCAUUUUGAAAAUAGUGUAUUUACUAUAUCUUA
rnacentral:tRNA from 1 species